UCUUUGCUAGUAUAUCGGUUAGUACACGCGCCUGUCAUGCGUGUUACUCGUGCGCGCGAAAGCUGGGUUCGACUCCCAGGCAGAGAG